rnacentral:rRNA from 1 species
GAUGAACGCUAGCUACAGGCUUAACACAUGCAAGUCGAGGGGAAACGCCAUCGAAAGCUUGCUUUUGAUGGGCGUCGACCGGCGCACGGGUGAGUAACGCGUAUCCAACCUGCCCACCACUUGGGGAUAACCUUGCGAAAGUAAGACUAAUACCCAAUGACGUCUCUAGAAGACAUCUGAAAGAGAUUAAAGAUUUAUCGGUGAUGGAUGGGGAUGCGUCUGAUUAGCUUGUUGGCGGGGUAACGGCCCACCAAGGCGACGAUCAGUAGGGGUUCUGAGAGGAAGGUCCCCCACAUUGGAACUGAGACACGGUCCAAACUCCUACGGGAGGCAGCAGUGAGGAAUAUUGGUCAAUGGACGAGAGUCUGAACCAGCCAAGUAGCGUGCAGGAUGACGGCCCUAUGGGUUGUAAACUGCUUUUAUAAGGGAAUAAAGUGAGUCUCGUGAGACUUUUUGCAUGUACCUUAUGAAUAAGGACCGGCUAAUUCCGUG